AGAGUUUGAUCCUGGCUCAGAACGAACGCUGGCGGCAGGCCUAACACAUGCAAGUCGAGCGGAUGAGGGUAGCUUGCUACCUGAUUCAGCGGCGGACGGGUGAGUAAUGCCUAGGAAUCUGCCCGAUAGUGGGGGACAACGUUUCGAAAGGAACGCUAAUACCGCAUACGUCCUACGGGAGAAAGCAGGGGACCUUCGGGCCUUGCGCUAUCGGAUGAGCCUAGGUCGGAUUAGCUAGUUGGUGGGGUAAAGGCUCACCAAGGCGACGAUCCGUAACUGGUCUGAGAGGAUGAUCAGUCACACUGGAACUGAGACACGGUCCAGACUCCUACGGGAGGCAGCAGUGGGGAAUAUUGGACAAUGGGCGAAAGCCUGAUCCAGCCAUGCCGCGUGUGUGAAGAAGGUCUUCGGAUUGUAAAGCACUUUAAGCUGGGAGGAAGGGCAGUAAGUUAAUACCUUGCUGUUUUGACGUUACCAGCAGAAUAAGCACCGGCUAACUUCGUGCCAGCAGCCGCGGUAA
rnacentral:rRNA from 1 species